AGUGAACGCUGGCGGUAGGCCUAACACAUGCAAGUCGAACGGCAGCACAGUAAGAGCUUGCUCUUACGGGUGGCGAGUGGCGGACGGGUGAGUAAUACAUCGGAAUCUACUUUUUCGUGGGGGAUAACGUAGGGAAACUUACGCUAAUACCGCAUACGACCUACGGGUGAAAGCAGGGGAUCUUCGGACCUUGUGCGAUUGAAUGAGCCGAUGUCGGAUUAGCUAGUUGGCGGGGUAAAGGCCCACCAAGGCGACGAUCCGUAGCUGGUCUGAGAGGAUGGUCAGCCACACUGGAAGUGAGACAGGGUACAGACACCUACGGGAGGCAGCAGUGGGGAAUAUUAGGCAAUGGGCGAAAGCCUGAUACAGGCAUACCGCGUGAGUGAAGAAGGACUUCGGGUUGUAAAGCGCUGUAGUUGGGAAAGAAAAGAAGCAGGUUAAUACCCCGCUGUUAUGACGGUACCGAAAGAAUAAGCACCGGCUAACUUCGUG
rnacentral:rRNA from 1 species